rnacentral:rRNA from 1 species
UUGGAGGGCAAGUCUGGUGCCAGCAGCCGCGGUAAUUCCAGCUCCAAUAGCGUACAUUAAAGUUGUUGCAGUUAAAAAGCUCGUAGUUGAAUUUCGGGAUCAAUAUUUCGGUCAUGCCGUUGGUAUGCACUGUUAUCAUUGAUUUCUCACCUUCUAAAGAACCGUGAUGCCAUUAAUUUGGUGUUACGGGGAAUUAGGACUGUUACCUUGAAAAAAUUAGAGUGUUCAAAGCAGGCUCACGCUUGAAUACAUUAGCAUGGAAUAAUGAAAUAGGACAUCCGAUUCUAUUUUGUUGGUUUCUAGGAUCGAUGUAAUGAUUAAUAGGGAUAGUUGGGGGCAUUAGUAUUCAAUUGUCAGAGGUGAAAUUCUUGGAUUUAUUGAAGACUAACUACUGCGAAAGCAUUUGCCAAGGAUGUUUUCAUUAAUCAAGAACGAAAGUUAGGGGAUCGAAGACGAUCAGAUACCGUCGUAGUCUUAACCAUAAACUAUGCCGACUAGGGAUCGGAUGAUGUUAAUUUUUUAAUGACUCAUUCGGCGCCUUACGGGAAAC